rnacentral:tRNA from 1 species
GCUUUGUUGGCCUAGUGGUUAAAGCACUCAGCUGCUAACUGAAAGGUCGGCGGUUAGAACCCACCAGCC